AGGGCGCACGGUGGAUGCCUUGGCACUAGAAGCCGAUGAAGGACGUUACUAACGACGAUAUGCUUUGGGGAGCUGUAAGUAAGCUUUGAUCCAGAGAUUUCCGAAUGGGGAAACCCAGCAUGAGUUAUGUCAUGUUAUCGAUAUGUGAAUACAUAGCAUAUCAGAAGGCACACCCGGAGAACUGAAACAUCUUAGUACCCGGAGGAAGAGAAAGAAAAUUCGAUUCCCUUAGUAGCGGCGAGCGAAACGGGAAGAGCCCAAACCAACAAGCUUGCUUGUUGGGGUUGUAGGACACUCUAUACGGAGUUACAAAGGACGACAUUAGACGAAUCAUCUGGAAAGAUGAAUCAAAGAAGGUAAUAAUCCUGUAGUCGAAAAUGUUGUCUCUCUUGAGUGGAUCCUGAGUACGACGGAGCACGUGAAAUUCCGUCGGAAUCUGGGAGGACCAUCUCCUAAGGCUAAAUACUCUCUAGUGACCGAUAGUGAACCAGUACCGUGAGGGAAAGGUGAAAAGCACCCCGGAAGGGGAGUGAAAUAGAACCUGAAACCGUGUGCUUACAAGUAGUCAGAGCCCGUUAAUGGGUGAUGGCGUGCCUUUUGUAGAAUGAACCGGCGAGUUACGAUUUGAUGCAAGGUUAAGCAGUAAAUGUGGAGCCGUAGCGAAAGCGAGUCUGAAUAGGGCGUUUAGUAUUUGGUCGUAGACCCGAAACCAGGUGAUCUACCCUUGGUCAGGUUGAAGUUCAGGUAACACUGAAUGGAGGACCGAACCGACUUACGUUGAAAAGUGAGCGGAUGAACUGAGGGUAGCGGAGAAAUUCCAAUCGAACCUGGAGAUAGCUGGUUCUCUCCGAAAUAGCUUUAGGGCUAGCCUCAAGUGAUGAUUAUUGGAGGUAGAGCACUGUUUGGACGAGGGGCCCCUCUCGGGUUACCGAAUUCAGACAAACUCCGAAUGCCAAUUAAUUUAACUUGGGAGUCAGAACAUGGGUGAUAAGGUCCGUGUUCGAAAGGGAAACAGCCCAGACCACCAGCUAAGGUCCCAAAAUAUAUGUUAAGUGGAAAAGGAUGUGGCGUUGCCCAGACAACUAGGAUGUUGGCUUAGAAGCAGCCAUCAUUUAAAGAGUGCGUAAUAGCUCACUAGUCGAGUGACACUGCGCCGAAAAUGUACCGGGGCUAAACAUAUUACCGAAGCUGUGGAUUGUCCUUUGGACAAUGGUAGGAGAGCGUUCUAAGGGCGUUGAAGCAUGAUCGUAAGGACAUGUGGAGCGCUUAGAAGUGAGAAUGCCGGUGUGAGUAGCGAAAGACGGGUGAGAAUCCCGUCCACCGAUUGACUAAGGUUUCCAGAGGAAGGCUCGUCCGCUCUGGGUUAGUCGGGUCCUAAGCUGAGGCCGACAGGCGUAGGCGAUGGAUAACAGGUUGAUAUUCCUGUACCACCUAUA
rnacentral:rRNA from 1 species